rnacentral:lncRNA from 1 species
GUUUUCACUCUACAUUUGAGCUCUCACUUUUUUGUCUCCAAGCUUCCAAGCUUUCAAGUGCUCAAGUAUCCUAGCUUUCCAAAAGAUUCAAAAGCUCUUCAACUUCUUCUUCUAAUCUUCUUGUUCAUCUCUACAAGUAAAAAGUGUUGUUUUCUUAAAUAUUCCACUCCUCUAAUCACCUCUUGUGUGUGUCCACUUUGGUUGAGAAGGUUGUCUUAAUAGUACCAAAGUGUGAGAGAAGGUUUUUGAGCUCAACCAUAAAGCUCUAGUUUAGUUUUAUAGAGUUUCCGGAAAAACUCUUAGGUCGAAUCUACCUUGAAAGAUUUUUAGGUUUUUAAGAGUUCCUUGAUACUCUAAAGUGUGAGUCUACCCGUAAAAGACUGGUUUCUAAGCGAAGUUAGCCUUAAAGCUUAGAGAGGUUUUUAAGAGUUCCUUUGAUACUCUAAGGUGUGAGUCUACCCGUAAAAGACUGAUUCCUAAGCGAAGUUAGCUUUAAAGUUUAGAGAGGUUUUUAAGAGUUUUCUUGAUACUUUAAGGUUUUGCCAUUAUCUUUAGGCUAGUGAAUUCCGACAGUUGGUCGGGACUGGAUUAGCCCUUGUUUGGGUGAACCAGUAUAAAUUCUCUUGUGUUGUUCUUUGUUAACUUUUGUUUUUAUCUUUCAUCUAAAAACAACUAAACAACACUUAAUUGAAAAGGAUCCCUCUUCCAGUUAUCUGGUCGAAUACAGAGGUUGACUACUUUACGCAGAUCCCUCAUCCAGUUAUCUGGUCAACUAUCUGAGGUUAUAAUCAUUGUAUUAAAUCUUUAUUCAAAUAUUUGUUUAAGCAUUUACUUAUCAAAUAUAUAUUCAGUUAUCUGGUCAUUUCUUUAUAACUUGCUUAUCAGAUAUAUAUCCAGUUAUCUGGUCAUUUACUCUAUAAUAUAACUUGUGCUUACAAUAUAACUUAGUAUUUAUAUACUAUAGUUGUUUGUGAAGCACUAUCUAAAAGUUGACUCUGUAUUCAUAUAAUGUAGUAAACUUCGAGAAAAAGCAAGUCCAAUAUAUAAUAUUAUAAGAUAUAAUAUUACAUUCCUUAAAAUCAUAUAAUAGUAUUAUAUUGUUAACAAUAUUUAUACUAUUAUUAUUAUACAACCAUUUGUGUAUAUAAGUGUGUGCAGUUAAUUCUGCUGUUAAUCUACACAAAUCGAAAAGAGGCUAUUAUCCGGAGCUUCGGAUCACGAUCCAACAGUGUUCUCCGGAGGAAGCGGAGUGGCCAUGGACGGAAAAGAAAUAUCCGCCGCUAGAUUGUUAAACAGUGGAUUUGUGGUCACAUUCUCUUGGACUAUCAGUUUCUCUGGUACUAUAUCAGACUUGGCUGACAUCAAGGAGAAUGACGAAGAUGUCGUAGUCAUGGAGGAUGAAGGUGAGCAGACCAUGAGAUAUGAAUUUAGUGAAGAACUAUAGAGAUCGAGGAGGAGUGUGCACAGAGACGCCACUAGGGUUAGGGAGAUGGACGAUCGCGAGUGAAGGGAGAGGAGUCGAUUGGGAAGAACCCAAGGGUUUUGAAUUUUUGUAUUGGAAAAUGUCUAGAAUAAAAUAUUACAACUUUCCUAUAUAUACUAAGUGACUAAACCCUAAUUAACUUAAUGGGCCAACAUCAGAGUUGGGCCUGACCUAGCUUAAACACUAAUACACUUAACUUAACUUUAAAAACAGAUUCGAUAAUUACUCUCAAUACCCCCCCUCAAGCUGGAGAGUGUAUGUCAUAGAGUCCCAGCUUGGGUAAUAGAUUGCGCAAUGAUUUAAGACUUGCUGGUUUUGUUAAAAUAUAUGCCACUUGAGAUGUUGUUGAAACAUGCUGUAAUUUAAAUAGUCCAGCUUGAAGAUGAUCACAAAUUAAAUGAUAAUCAAUCUCUAUAUGUUUGGUGCGUUCAUGAAAGACUGAAUUUGAUGCAAUGUGUAUUGCACAUUGUUUCUCUUGAUGGCUUGACCUGUAGAUCAUUUAAAAAAUAAUGCAGCUACAUUAUCUUACAUACAGUUGAUGCCAUUGCCCUAUAUUCACUUUUAGCAGAUGACCUGCUUAUUGUUGUUUGUUUCUUAGAUUUCCAUGUUAUGGCUGAGCCACCUAACAAAAUUGUGUAUCCUGUGAUUGACCUCCUAGUUUUGGGGCAAUCAGCCCAAUCUGCAUCACAAUAAGCUUCUAAUUGUAAGGGUUCAUCCCUUUUAUAUAAGAUACCUUUGCCUGGAGGUCCUUUGAUGUAUUUCAAUAUCUUCAUGGCAGAGUUGAAGUGUGAUUGCUUGGGAUCUGCCAAAAAUUGACUAUAUAUGAUGACUAAUAGAAAAAGAUAUAUCAGGUCUUGUUAUUGUAAGGUAUAAUAGUUUCCCAAUUAGCUUUCUAUAGAUUGAUGGAUCUUUUAGUGGGGCAUCAUUCUCAGAGUUUUUGUAGUUGUGAGACAUUGGGAUUUUGGAUGGAGAGGAUCCCAAUUGUCCAAAAUCAUGUAGAAUAUCAAGGGCAUAUUUCCUUUGUGAUAGAAAAAUACCUAAGUUGGAUUGAGACAUCUCAAUUCCUAUAAAGUAUUUGAGUUUGCCCAAAUCCUUUAUAUGGAAUUGAAGGUGUAGAUAUUCUUUCAGUUUCUGAAUUUCAGCUUCAUUAUCAGCUAAUAUGAUUAGGUCAUCCACAUAGAUAAAAGUAGGCAGGUAUAUGAGUUUGAGUUUGAUUUAAAAAAUAAUGUAUAAUCAGAAUGAGAUUGUGUAUACCCAAAUUUAGUUAAAGCUGAAGUGAGUUUUUCAUACCAGUUUCAUAGGGAUUUCUUUAAUUUGCGAACUCUGGUGUCAUCUGAUGAUAGCAUCCCUGGAGGUGGAGACAUGUAUAUCUCCUCAGAUAAAUCACCAU